rnacentral:tRNA from 1 species
GGGGUUGUGGCUCAGUGGUAGAGCUCUUGCCUAGCAUGCAUGAGACACUGGGUUCAAACCCCAGCACCACA